CUGCAAUCCUGGGUGAGACUGGAAUUGAGCUUAUGCAGAGGAAUCGACUAGAAAGCUAGUUCAGAGCUGGACCAUGAGGACCCAACAAUGCUGUGCCAAGAGAGACAGCUCAUGGUUGCCUAGACCUGAAGCCUUCUCCGUUCUUGGAUUCAGAAAUUAAAAGUAAUGGCCUGUCUGCAGAAAUGACUUUUUAGGAUAAAAGCUGGUUGGAGAGUUGGAGAGAGUGUUAACAUGGACCAUCCCACCCUAUCAUUUUAGAGGAGAGGAAACUGCAAGUAAAUGUCUACAUUUCAUGCACUGAAGACACUGCUGUGCCAGAUCCCAGAGUUCUCAAGAUGCUCAGACACGGUCCACACCUUCUAGAUACUUACUUUCUAAAACAAACCAAAACUGUCUUGUUCAACUGAGGAGCUGAAAGUUUCUUCUUAAUUGCACUGUGAAAUUUAGUGUCAGGUAUGCCUGUCACUGGACACCUUUCUCAAGGCAAAUGUGUAGCUCUGGUAUAAGUGAGGCUAACAAAAUGCAUUAUCAGUGGAGCAAGGUUUUUAUAGGACUUUAGCUGAGCACAAUUAGAAACUGCUUGAUUUGGUCAGGAUCAAAUAAACCCAAUUUUUUAAAACCCUGCUAAAUAAAAAAUAUGCUAUCAGAUUUUUAGGGGAAAAAGGGAAAUCAGCAAAUCACAAGAAACCUUGCUGAACUCAUGCAUUAUCUUCAGAAUAAAACUCCAGGGAAAAGUCUAGGCUCAUCACAUAAAUAAUUACUCAUAUUUUUCCAGGUCUUUACCAUUUGCAGAGAUUUCACUCACAUGCUCUAAUUUGAGUCAGGCAGAGCAGACACUAUUAUUUUUAUCCCUUUUUGACAGCUGCUGAUAUUGAGGCAUAAAGUGGUUGAGCAAAUUUCCAAAGGUCAGACUACUAAUGAAUGGGGAAGGUGUGACUCAAAGAGCAUCCCGACUUUAUGUCCAGGGAGGCUGCAUGAAAGAAUACAAGAUCGGAAUUCAGGACUUUUCAGACACUGACUGACUCCAUGACCUUGGUCUAGUUAAUAAUUGUUUUUACAUUAGCUUCCUUGUUUAUAAAAUAUGAAUAAUUUGCCUAGAAGUCUUGUUUGGGGAUUGAACAAGAUAAUGUAAGUUAGACAUCCAGCAUAUAGUAUGUAAUCAGUAACUGAGUUCCUUUCAUUCUCCUUCUCUUGGGAUACACUGCAUAUAAAUAUGUUCUACAUCUUAAAUAUGUUCUACAAUUGUAAUUCCAAAGCCAUGAUCAAUAUGUAGAUGUGCAGAUGUUCAGAAUAAAA